GAUCAUGCCAUAUCUCUGAAAGUCCCUUUGUGGCUAAGAAACGAGGAACUUUGGAUAGGCCUUUCAUGGUGAUGGUUUUGGUGUCACCAUAUGUGAUUGAUUAUGAAACCUCAACUCUAACACCUAGUAGCAGGAGGACAAGGACAAAACCGGAACACAAGAUUAGAAAAGGUUUAGUCUUUCUACCCACCAAAAUCUCACCCAACUGAAAAACUGAACCUGAACCCAGAAGAACCAUGGCGCUGGCAUUGGCCCUUCGCAGGCUUUCCUCUUCUGUGGACAAGCCCAUUCGUCCUCUCUUCAAUGCCACCUCUCACUACUACAUGUCAUCUUUGCCCAAUGAAGCUGUCUAUGACAAGGAGAAGAACGGUGUCAGUUGGCCUAAGCAAUUGAAUGCUCCAUUGGAGGCUGUGGAUCCUGAGAUUGCUGACAUCAUCGAGCACGAGAAAGCCAGGCAAUGGAAGGGCCUAGAACUGAUACCUUCGGAGAACUUCACAUCAGUCUCUGUGAUGCAAGCAGUUGGUUCAGUCAUGACCAACAAAUACAGUGAAGGGUAUCCAGGGGCAAGAUACUAUGGAGGAAAUGAGUUCAUUGACAUGGCAGAAACCUUGUGCCAGAAGCGUGCUUUGGAAGCUUUUCGGUUGGAUCCAGCAAAAUGGGGAGUCAAUGUUCAGCCUUUGUCAGGAUCUCCAGUCUAAUUUUCUAUGUUUACUACUGCAUUGUUGAACCUCAUGAUAGAAUCAUGGCUUCUUGAUCUUCCACUAUGGUGGUCAUCUUUCUCAUGGUUAUCAGACUGACACCAAAAAGAUAUCAGCUGUGUCAAUCUUUUUUGAGACAAUGCCAUACAGAUUGGAUGAGAGCACUGGUUACAUUGACUAUGACCAGUUGGAGAAAAGCGCCACUCUCUUCAGGCCAAAAUUAAUAGUUGCUGGUGCUAGUGCUUAUGCACGUUUGUAUGAUUAUGCACGUAUUCGCAAGGUAUGCGACAAACAGAAAGCAAUCUUGUUGGCAGAUAUGGCACAUAUCAGUGGGUUGGUUGCCGCUGGUGUCAUCCCAUCUCCUUUUGAGUAUGCAGAUGUAGUGACCACCACAACACACAAGUCACUUCGUGGCCCGCGCGGCGCCAUGAUUUUCUUCAGGAAGGGUCUAAAAGAGACCAACAAACAAGGGAAAGAGGUGAGUGUUCAAGAUCACAAUUCAAAGUGUUUUUAUGACUACGAAGACAAAAUCAAUCAAGCUGUCUUUCCUGGGCUUCAAGGUGGUCCACACAACCACACCAUCACUGGUUUGGCAGUUGCACUGAAACAGGCUACUACUCCAGAGUACAAAGCCUAUCAAGAACAAGUUCUCAGUAAUUGCUCAAGAUUUGCACAGUCAUUGAAUGAGAAGGGCUAUGAGCUUGUUUCUGGAGGAACUGAGAACCAUUUAGUUUUGGUGAAUUUGAAGAACAAGGGUAUUGACGGAUCCAGGGUCGAAAAGGUGUUGGAAGCCGUUCACAUUGCAGCCAACAAAAACACUGUUCCUGGAGAUGUGUCUGCCAUGGUUCCUGGUGGCAUCAGGAUGGGAACUCCAGCGCUUACUUCUAGGGGAUUUGUUGAGGAGGAUUUUGCUAAAGUUGCAGAUUUCUUUGAUGCCGCUGUGAAGUUGGCAGUGAAGGUCAAGGCAGAAGCCAAAGGAACAAAGUUAAAGGAUUUCUUGGCAGCAUUGCUUGCCUUUCAGUCUGAAACUGCAAAGCUGCGCCAUGAUGUCGAGGAGUAUGCCAAGCAAUUUCCGACAAUUGGGUUUGAGAAGGAAAGCAUGAAGUACAAGAACUGAGAGAAAUCACGUGUGUUAGGCAUACAUGGUGCCGGCAUCAUCAGAGUUUUCUUGAAUGAGAAAGGAGAAGGAACAUGUCAAGAUGGAGCUCCAUCGAGCUAUAGUUUAUUUAAAUUCAGCGAACCCUGAUGAAUGUAUAUAGAUGUAUCAAUUUGAGGAUUUACAAUGCAAU